GUAGUUAGCCGGGGCUUUCUAAUGGGGUACCGUCAUUUUCUUCGUCCCCCACAACAGAGGUUUACAAUCCGAAAACCUUCUUCCCUCACGCGGCGUUGCUGGGUCAGGCUUGCGCCCAUUGCCCAAUAUUCCCCACUGCUGCCUCCCGUAGGAGUCUGGACCGUGUCUCAGUUCCAGUGUGGCCGAUCAGCCUCUCAGCUCGGCUACCCAUCGCAGGCUUGGUGGGCUGUUAUCUCACCAACUACCUAAUGGGACGCGAACCCCUCCCUCAGCGGAUUGCUCCUUUGACCUCAUCCCGAUGCCGGGUCGUGGUCUUAUGCGGUAUUAGCACUUGUUUCCAGGUGUUAUCCCCCUCUGAAGGUCAGGUUGUUCACGCGUUACUCACCCGUUCGCCACUAAAAUUUAUCUUCCAUCCGAAAACUUCUGAUAAAUCUCCGUUCGACUUGCAUGUGUUAGGCACGCCGCCAGCGUUCGUCCUGAGCCAGGAUCAAACUCUGA
rnacentral:rRNA from 1 species